AUCAGCAAAAAGUUAUUCAGAAUCACCAACAAGACGGCCGUGAAGCCGUUUGGUUUUUGUCUAAUAAAAGCACCCCUCACACAACGUAAAGGGAGUUGUAGCAUGUAUUAGCUCCAGAAUUACCGCAUUUAUCCAAGUAACUGACACUAUCCAGUAUAUGAGGUGUGAUUUAAUGAGCCGUUCGCAGCUUCACCUUAAUUCGGCU